AUUGAACGCUGGCGGCAUGCCUUACACAUGCAAGUCGAACGGCAGCACGGGAGCAAUCCUGGUGGCGAGUGGCGAACGGGUGAGUAACGCAUCGGAACGUGCCCAGUCGUGGGGGAUAGCCCGGCGAAAGCCGGAUUAAUACCGCAUACGACCUGGGGGUGAAAGCGGGGGACCUUCGGGCCUCGCGCGAUUGGAGCGGCCGAUGUCAGAUUAGGUAGUUGGUGGGGUAAAGGCCCACCAAGGCGACGACGGGUAGCCGGCCUGAGAGGGCGACCGGCCACACUGGGACUGAGACACGGCCCAGACUCCUACGGGAGGCAGCAGUGGGGAAUAUUGGGCAAUGGAGGAAACUCUGACCCAGCCAUGCCGCGUGCGGGAAGAAGGCCUUCGGGUUGUAAACCGCUUUUGUCAGGGAAGAAAAGGCUCCUGCUAAUACCGGGGGUUCAUGACGGUACCUGAAGAAUAAGCACCGGCUAACUACGUGCCAGCCGCCGCCGUAACAC
rnacentral:rRNA from 1 species